rnacentral:rRNA from 1 species
UACGUAGGCAGCGAGCGUUGUUCGGAAUUACUGGGCGUAAAGAGUGUGUAGGUGGUGAUCUAAGUCUGUCGUGAAAUCUCCCGGCUUAACUGGGAGGGUGCGGCGGAAACUGGAUCGCUAGAGUAUGGGAGAGGUAAGCGGAAUUCCUGGUGUAGCGGUGAAAUGCGUAGAUAUCGCUUGGAACGCCAAAGGUGAAAACAGGUUGCUGGGGUUGUGCCGACGCUGAGACACGAAAGCCAGGGGAGCAAACGGG